GUGGGGAAUCUUGCGCAAUGGGCGAAAGCCUGAUCCAGCCAUGCCGCGUGUGUGAAGAAGGUCUUCGGAUUGUAAAGCACUUUAAGUUGGGAGGAAGGGCAGUAAGUUAAUACCUUGCUGUUUUGACGUUACCGACAGAAUAAGCACCGGCUAACUUCGUGCCAGCAGCCGCGGUAAUACGAAGGGUGCAAGCGUUAAUCGGAAUUACUGGGCGUAAAGCGCGCGUAGGUGGUUUUGUAAGUUGGUGGUGAAAUCCCCGGGCUCAACCUGGGAACUGCCUCCAAAACUGCAUGACUAGAGUACGGUAGAGGGUAGUGGAAUUUCCUGUGUAGCGGUGAAAUGCGUAGAUAUAGGAAGGAACACCAGUGGCGAAGGCGACUACCUGGACUGAUACUGACACUGAGGUGCGAAAGCGUCGGGAGCAAACAGGAUUAGAAACCCGGGUAGUCC
rnacentral:rRNA from 1 species